UACGAAGGGGGCUAGCGUUAAUCGGAAUUACUGGGCGUAAAGCGUGCGCAGGCGGCUUUGCAAGACAGAUGUGAAAUCCCCGGGCUCAACCUGGGAACUGCAUUUGUGACUGCAAGGCUAGAGUACGGCAGAGGGGGAUGGAAUUUCCUGUGUAGCGGUGAAAUGCGUAGAUAUAGGAAGGAACACCAGUGGCGAAGGCGACAUACUGGAUCAUUACUGACGCUGAGGCUCGAAAGCGUGGGGAGCAAACAGG
rnacentral:rRNA from 1 species